GAUGAACGCUGGCGGCGUGCCUAAUACAUGCAAGUAGAACGCUGAAGGAGGAGCUUGCUCUUCUGGAUGAGUUGCGAACGGGUGAGUAACGCGUAGGUAACCUGCCUGGUAGCGGGGGAUAAAUAUUGGAAACGAUAGCUAAUAUCGCAUGACAUCAGUUAUUGCAUGAUAAUCGAUAAAAAGGGGCAACUGUUCCACUACUAGAUGGACCUGCGUUGUAUUAGUUAGUUGGUGAGGUAACGGCUCAACAAGGCGACGAUACAUAGCCGACCUUAGAAGGGGAUCGGCCACACUGGGACGGAGACACCGCCCAGGCUCCUACGGGAGGCAAGAGUAGGGAAUCUUCGGCAAUGGACGGAAGGCUGACCGAGCAACGCCGCGGGGAUGAAGAAGGGUCUCGGAUCGUAAAGCUCUUUUGUAAGAGAAAAACGAGUGUGGGAGUGGAAAGUGCACACUGUGACGGUAUCUAAUCAGAAAGGGACGGCUAACUACGUG
rnacentral:rRNA from 1 species